rnacentral:rRNA from 1 species
UGGGGAAUAUUGGACAAUGGGCGAAAGCCUGAUCCAGCCAUGCCGCGUGAGUGAUGAAGGCCUUAGGGUUGUAAAGCUCUUUUAGCAGGGAAGAUAAUGACGGUACCUGCAGAAAAAGCCCCGGCUAACUUCGUGCCAGCAGCCGCGGUAAUACGAAGGGGGCUAGCGUUGCUCGGAAUUACUGGGCGUAAAGCGCACGUAGGCGGACUCUUAAGUCGGUGGUGAAAUCCUGGAGCUCAACUCCAGAACUGCCUUCGAUACUGGGAGCCUUGAGUUCGGGAGAGGUGAGUGGAACUGCGAGUGUAGAGGUGAAAUUCGUAGAUAUUCGCAAGAACACCAGUGGCGAAGGCGGCUCACUGGCCCGAUACUGACGCUGAGGUGCGAAAGCGUGGGGAGCAAACA